rnacentral:rRNA from 1 species
AACGCGUACGCAAUCUGGCUACAGAUGGGGGAUAGCCCUGGGAAACUGGGAUUAAUACCGCAUAAAAUAAUGAUAUGGCAUCAUAUAAUUAUUAAAGGAGAGAUCCGUCUGUAGAUGAGCGUGCGUUCUAUUAGUUAGUUGGUGAGGUAACGGCUCACCAAGGCGAUGAUAGAUAGGGGGCGUGAGAGCGUGAUCCCCCACACGGGUACUGAGACACGGACCCG